UGGGGAAUUUUGGACAAUGGGCGCAAGCCUGAUCCAGCCAUGCCGCGUGUGGGAAGAAGGCCUUCGGGUUGUAAACCACUUUUGUCAGGGAAGAAACGGCCUGAUCUAAUACAUUGGGUUAAUGACGGUACCUGAAGAAUAAGCACCGGCUAACUACGUGCCAGCAGCCGCGGUAAUACGUAGGGUGCGAGCGUUAAUCGGAAUUACUGGGCGUAAAGCGUGCGCAGGCGGCUUUGCAAGACAGAUGUGAAAUCCCCGGGCUCAACCUGGGAACUGCAUUUGUGACUGCAAGGCUAGAGUACGGUAGAGGGGGAUGGAAUUCCGCGUGUAGCAGUGAAAUGCGUAGAUAUGCGGAGGAACACCGAUGGCGAAGGCAAUCCCCUGGACCUGUACUGACGCUCAUGCACGAAAGCGUGGGGAGCAAACAGGAUUAGAUACCCAAGUAGUCCCUGAGCGGGCUGGCAAGGCGCAU
rnacentral:rRNA from 1 species